UUAUGGGGUCCUAAAAGGAUUUAUAGGGUCCCAAAGGGAUUUAUGGGGUCCUAAAGGGAUUGAGGGGGUCCUAAAGGGAUUUGGGGGGUCCUAAAGGGGUUUGUGGGGUUACAAAGGGAUUUAUGGGGUCCUAAAGGGAUUUAUGGGGUCCCAAAGGGAUUUUGGGGGUCCUAAAGGGAUUUAUGGGGUUACAAAGGGAUUUAUGGGGUCCCAAAGGAUUUAUGGGGUGCUAAAGGGGUUUAUGGGGUCCUAAA